UACAGAGGUCUCAAGCGUUGUUCGGAUUCAUUGGGCGUAAAGGGUGCGUAGGCGGCGCGGUAAGUCGGGUGUGAAAUCUCGGAGCUUAACUCCGAAACUGCAUUCGAUACUGCCGUGCUUGAGGACUGGAGAGGAGACUGGAAUUUACGGUGUAGCGGUGAAAUGCGUAGAUAUCGGGAGGAACACCAGUGGCGAAGGCGACUACCUGGGCCAAGAUUGACGCUGAGGUGCGAAAGCGUGGGGAGCAAACAGG
rnacentral:rRNA from 1 species